rnacentral:ncRNA from 1 species
CAAAUACCUCAUGAGAUUGGCAAUGGGUUGUUUACUGAAUUGUGAGCUUCCUAGCUAAUGAAUUGUAAUUUAACAACAUGUAGAGAUUGAUCCCUUGCAGACGACUUGGUUGUGUGCAUCAGUCGUGUAAGCAGUGGAGAUGGCUUGUUCUAUCGACCUGCUGAGCGUAAGCUGACUGCGCCAGAUUUGU